rnacentral:rRNA from 1 species
GGAGUGCGCUUGGCUUA